UACAGAGGUCUCAAGCGUUGUUUCGGAUUCAUUGGGCGUAAAGGGUGCGUAGGCGGCGCGGUAAGUCGGGUGUGAAAUCUUGGAGCUUAACUCCGAAACUGCAUUCGAUACUGCCGUGCUUGAGGACUGGAGAGGAGACUGGAAUUUACGGUGUAGCGGUGAAAUGCGUAGAUAUCGUAAGGAAGACCAGUGGCGAAGGCGGGUCUCUGGACAGUUCCUGACGCUGAGGCACGAAGGUCAGGGGAGCAAACGGG
rnacentral:rRNA from 1 species